GCCAACAUAACUAAUCCAAACCCCACUAGUAGUUCCUGCACCUAAACAAUAGCAUUAGCAGCACUUGCAAUCCUUGGCCACAGAUCAGCACACUCUUUUCCUAUUGGGCCAGUAAUGGCAGAUCCUACACACAUUAAAAGCAGAAACCAUAAGUACAAUAAAAACAACAUGGAUUAAAAGUAGUGAAAGUUAUAAAAAUAACUUUGUGGAAAUCUAAACAUUUUUUUUUCAGAAUGACGAGUAAACUGCAUAUAGACUUAAGAAUACAGACAUAAUAUAAAGCUUCCUUUUUUUAUCUGCUUACAUUGAUAAUGAAUUACAAAUUUUACAAUAUAUAUAUAUAUACAGUCAAGAUCCUAUCAGCUCUCCCGUACAAAUGUUAAAAUCCGAACUUCCGUGGGAUUAUAUCAGACGGUUGGGAAAGGAAAUGGUUGGAAAAAAAACGCGGACCUCCAUUUCAAACGGGUUACGGGUUAUUCAGAUCUGGCCUCCAUCUCCAUUUCACAAACCACGUCUCUCUUUCUCUCACAAAGCUCUAGCCGUUGUUGAAUCGCGUCUCUCUCUCUCUCACAAAGCUCCGGACGAAAUUGAAUCGCACAACUCAAUCCCUCACUUCGAUUUUUCUGGUUCCACAUCUCAAUUUGGUAAGGGCUUCGAUUUGGAUGACUUCUUUUCCUUUUCCGAUUUGAAAAUUAUAUAUUUCAUCUUUGUUUGGAGUUGGAAAAGGGGUUUUGUUACAUUUCUGCUUCUAAACUUCUAAAAGGGUUGGUUUCUUAUUUUUUUGUUCUUUUUUGUUUUUGUUUUUCUCUUCUCUCUGAAAAAAUUGUCUGUGAGACUGAGGUGUUAAUCAAAUUUUUGCUAAGCUAGUAUUUUCCUGUGAUUGAUGAUGAGUGGAAAUUGGUAAGUAUGAUGCCUUGGGGAAUUGCACGUUAUAAUCUGAGAAAUGCUCCCUUGGUGGAUUCCAAUUUUUUUCAAUACUUUUUUUUCAGGGUGUGUAGUUCAUUAAUUAAAAUAAAGAUCAUUUAUGGAUUGAUUGUGAUAUUGUACAGGCACCAAAAGAACAUGUACAUGCACAAUUAUAUAAUAUGUGAUUGUACAUGCACAAUUAUCUGGUGGAUUGAUUGUGAUAUAAUGUGAUCAUGCACUAUAUUAUUUAUGGAUUGAUUGUGACUACUAAACACCAAAUAUGAUAGAGCUUCACAUUUUCCAUUAACUCUUCAAAAUAUGAUAAUCCCAAACUAAUUUUCCAUUAACUCUUCAAAACAAAUUUAUAUAUCGGAGUUGAGGAAACUCAAAAUCCGGUUGGCUUGAACAUGUGAUCAUGCACUAUAUAAUUGUUUUUAUGCUAAUUAUAAUUCAAGAAAUAACAUAUAAAUCUGAAAAACCACAUAAAACGAAUACUUACUAAUUACAAACAUAAACUUUAUGUCCAUUAUGCACAAAUGCUCCAAGUUCUAUGCAGUUGGUUGGAAAUGUUGUAGGUACUUGUUUUCAGCUCUCUGUCUCUGUUGUAUGAAUUUUGUAUAAUUUCGUGCAAUUAUGUUAAUUGAGGUGUUUUACAUUUACUAGCUGGUAUUAAUGUUUAUCUGUUUGAUUUUUUGAACCUUGAACUAAUUGGGAAAAACCAUAAUUUGGUGUCUGCAGAGUAGUAAUGUUUAUAAUUAUGAUGAGAAAGUGAUGGAUGGAUUCUAAGAUAUUUUUGGAAUUGCUUCAAAUUCAGUCACACAAGUGAGAAUGCCAUUAUUGGUGGAUCUAGAAACAUUAUCUGUUUGUUUUAUGCAAGGAAUGUCAACAUGGUUUUUGGCCCAAAUGUGUAACAAGCAAUACGAGGCAUCAGCAUUCAUGAUUAAUUGUUGACACAUAAGUCUUCUUUGAAAACACUUGCUUUCUAAAUUACCUCUGAGAUUAUGGUAUACAAGUCUCAUGAAUAUUUUUUUUGCUUAUUAUGUUUGUUUCUUGAUAGUUGUUAGUUAACUGGUCUAUCUUGGAAUUUUGCUUAUGAUUCAUUUUGAUGUAUAUUUCAAGUGUAUAUUCUUUUGUUUGUUCAUUUGAUUCAUUUGUUUUGAGUUAAAAUUCUUUUUUGACAGCCUCAUGAUUGCGGGUAUUUCAUGUGGUACAAUCCUCCGAUGCAGCCGAGAGUCAUUCAAGUGAUUUUGCUACUUUGGAACCAUCUCUGUGCAAGAAGAUGCUUAAAUAGGAAAAAUUUAUAAUUAAAAUUUGGGAGAUGGAACAGUUAGGGUGUGUGAAGUCCUUAUUUUAAAUGUAAUGAAUUGAUUAUAAUGAAGCAAAAAUAUUGCACUCUGUAAACUCUGUUUAGUGUUAUGGGAAAUGUAAUGUAAACUGUUUAUAUUGCACUCUGUAAACUCUGUAAAAUCUUGUGUCACUAACUAUUAUUGUUAUUUUAAUUCACGC
rnacentral:lncRNA from 1 species